rnacentral:rRNA from 1 species
GACGAACGCUGGCGGCGUGCUUAACACAUGCAAGUCGAACGGAAAGGCCCUGCUUUUGUGGGGUGCUCGAGUGGCGAACGGGUGAGAAACACGUGAGUAACCUGCCCUUGACUUUGGGAUAACUUCAGGAAACUGGGGCUAAUACCGGAUAGGAGCUCCUGCUGCAUGGUGGGGGUUGGAAAGUUUCGGCGGUUGGGGAUGGACUCGCGGCUUAUCAGCUUGUUGGUGGGGUAGUGGCUUACCAAGGCUUUGACGGGUAGCCGGCCUGAGAGGGUGACCGGCCACAUUGGGACUGAGAUACGGCCCAGACUCCUACGGGAGGCAGCAGUGGGGAAUAUUGCACAAUGGGCGGAAGCCUGAUGCAGCAACGCCGCGUGCGGGAUGACGGCCUUCGGGUUGUAAACCGCUUUCGCCUGUGACGAGGCGUGAGUGACGGUAAUGGGUAAAGAAGCACCGGCUAACUACGUG